AUAAUCGGAGAACUUAAUUGAAACUUUUCAACCAAAGCUAUAUCUGCACCUUCAAUUUCAAUAGUCAGACUAAAAACCUGAAUUUCGCCUGAGCUUUCAACAACCACUAGCUCAAAGUUUUUCCAUUCAUCAUCUUUAUGCGUACCCGGCAUCCAGAACACGUUUAAUUUGCUAUUUGGCUUACAGUGAUAGGAAUGUUGAAGCAUCAAGCAAGGAGAUUCUACAUUCAGAAUGAAUAAAGUAUCCUUUGAGAACAACGAAACGUAGUUUCCCUGAGGAUCUAAAGCUAUUGCUUUUAACGUCCUGGGCAUUUGUUCUUUUGAAAGUACAAGCUUUGUACACCAUUGACGUAAAUCCCAAACUACAAGACACCUAUCUAACCCGACGGAGGCAAACGUCUUAUAGUUUUCAGAUACAGCAAUUUUUAAAAUGUCAAGCUGAUGAUGAACAGGAACGGGUUCUAUUCUGAAUUUUUCCUCAUGUAAUGUUGUAUCGGUUGAAAGCUCGUCAUGGUCAGACCAGCCUCGCAAAAGUGCUUUAACAAGCAACCCAACCGCAAAAUCAAUUGCGAACAGUAUGCUGAAAAAUGUUGACCAUCUCCAUACUCUCCGGUCAUGAAACGAGUUGUAGACAUUAGUGUAAUCACGACGGUUAACAGUGUCAAGAAUAACUGGUCGAUACAAAGCAAUAACAAGGUUUUCCGCCAUCGUCUUCUCUUUUAAUGCUUCUAAAAAAGUGGGGUCACCAAACCAACCGGUCGUAAUCAGUGGAAAUAACUUUCGUUCUCGUAAAAUACGGCCUAAACGAUGAUAUAACGUAAUGAGAAAGCGAAUGUUAGGAGAUGCUAAUCUCCAAGACCCAUUGAUAUCUGUACUGGAUUGGAGUUGUAAAUAAAUAACGUACAUAUGAAAUGAAACAGUACCAAGAUUAUCGAUAAUCCAUGGAGACCACAUGAAUCUUACGUAUUCUAGAU